rnacentral:pre_miRNA from 1 species
GAGAAAGAGUCCUGCCGAGCAGGAAAGAUGGGCAAAGACAGAGACAGUCAAAAGUCGUCUUUGUCACUGCCCAUCCCUCCUGCUCCUCUGGGCCUCCCUUUCUC